AACGCACAUUGCGCCCUCUGGUAUUCCAGAGGGCAUGCCUGUUUGAGCGUCAUUCCUCUCUCAAACCCUCGGGUUUGGUAUUGAGUGAUACUCUUAGUCGAACUAGGCGUUUGCUUGAAAUUUAUUGGCAUGAGUGAUGCUAAAAAGUGCAUUCAGGAACUAUCAAUGUAUUAGGUUUAUCCAACUCGUUGACAAUCCUUGAUUGUGAAUUUUUAGUGUUAGGCUUUGCCUUAUAAAACAACAAACAAGUUUGACCUCAAAUCAGGUAGGAUUACCCGCUGAACUUAA
rnacentral:misc_RNA from 1 species